UACGUAGGGUGCAAGCGUUGUCCGGAAUUAUUGGGCGUAAAAGAGCUCGUAGGCGGUCUGUCGCGUCUGCUGUGAAAAAUCCAGGGCUCAACCCUGGACCUGCAGUGGGUACGGGCAGACUAGAGUGCGGUAGGGGAGAUCGGAAUUCCUGGUGUAGCGGUGAAAUGCGCAGAUAUCAGGAGGAACACCGGGUGGCGAAGGCGCCACUCUGGGCCGGUACUGCGUGGAGGAGCGAAAAGCGUGGGGAGCAAACAGG
rnacentral:rRNA from 1 species